rnacentral:rRNA from 1 species
GACGAACGCUGGCGGCGUGCUUAACACAUGCAAGUCGAACGGAAAGGCCCCUUUGGGGGUACUCGAGUGGCGAACGGGUGAGUAACACGUGAGUAACCUGCCCUUGACUUCGGGAUAACUUCAGGAAACUGGGGCUAAUACCGGAUAGGAAUCCUUGCUGCAUGGUGGGGGUUGGAAAGCUUCGGCGGUUUUGGAUGGACUCGCGGCUUAUCAGCUUGUUGGUGGGGUAGUGGCUUACCAAGGGUUUGACGGGUAGCCGGCCUGGGAGGGCGACCGGCCACAUUGGGACUGAGAUACGGCCCAGACUCCUACGGGAGGCAGCAGGGGGGAAUAUUGCACAAUGGGCGGAAGCCUGAUGCAGCAACGCCGCGUGCGGGAUGACGGCCUUCGGGUUGUAAACCGCUUUCAACAGGGGCGAAGCUUGUGGUGACGGUACCUGCAGAAGAAGCACCGGCUAACUACGUG